rnacentral:rRNA from 1 species
UGCUUAGCGGCGAAUGGGUGAGUAACACGUACUUAACCUACCCCCAAGAUUGGAACAACACCUGGAAACGGGUGCUAAUACCGAAUACGUAUUUUUUAUCGCAUGAUAGAAAUAUAAAAGGAGCUUCGGCUUCACUAGGGGAUGGGAGUGCGCUACAUUAGUUAGUUGGUAGGGUAAUGGCCUACCAAGACUAUGAUGUAUAGCGGGGCCGAGAGGCUGAUCCGCCACACUGGGACUGAGAUACGGCCCAGACUCCUACGGGAGGCAGCAGUAGGGAAUUUUCCACAAUGAACGAAAGUUUGAUGGAGCGACACAGCGUGCAGGAUGAAGGUCUUCGGAUCGUAAACUGCUGUUAUAAGAGAAGAAAAACCCCGGGAGGUAAUGCCCGGGACUUGACGGUACCUUAUCAGAAAGCGACGGCUAACUAUGUGCCAGCAGCCGCGGUAAUACAUAGGUCGCAAGCGUUAUCCGGAAUUAUUGGGCGUAAAGAGUUCGUAGGUGGUCUUGUAAGUCUGAAGUUAAAGCCCGGGGCUCAACCCCGGCCCGCUUUGGAUACUGCAAGACUAGAGUAAUAGAGAGGUUAGUGGAACUCCAAGUGAAGCGGUGGAAUGCGUAGAUAUUUGGAAGAACACCAAUGGCGAAGGCAACUAACU